rnacentral:rRNA from 1 species
UACAGAGGGUGCGAGCGUUGUCCGGAAUCACUGGGCGUAAAGGGCGCGUAGGUGGCGCUCCAAGUCCGUGGUGAAAGCUCGAUGCUCAACAUCGAGUCGGCCACGGAGACUGGAGGGCUCGAGCACUGUAGGGGCAGAUGGAAUUCCGGGUGUAGCGGUGGAAUGCGUAGAGAUCCGGAAGAACACCGGUGGCGAAGGCGGUCUGCUGGGCGAGUUGCUGACACUGAGGCGCGAAAGCGUGGGGAGCAAACAGGG